UGCAGAAAAUAGUUCUACGCGAAAGAACUUUCCAUUACCACCAGGUAUUGGAUAGACCAGGGUUAUUUUUUUUUUAGCCCGGCCGAAAGCCGCUAAUGUAGAAAGUAGUUCUACGCGAAAGAAAUUUUCAUUUAAAUCUCUUUGAUGACCCCCGGUUAUGACACGACUAGGGUUAUUUUUUUGAAGCGCGGCCGAAGACCGCCAAUGCAGAAAGUAGUUCUUCGCGAAAGAACUUGUCAGUUCCAAUCACAUAACACAUGCAUCAAUUCAUAAGUGCACGCAUCGGCUGCUGUUAACACACAACUUUAUAUUUUUUCCUCAAAGUGUUUAUUUUGGGCUAAUUUACAUGAAAAUGAUGUCUUCAAAAUGUUCAAGACGCUGGUUUCAAAGCGAAAUUUGUAGCCAGCCGUCGCUACGUCGUGUCGUGUAGUCAUCUUUGUGUUCAGAGCAUUAAGCAGCCAUCUUACCCGGAUGUUACACGUUGAAGAAAUUGCUUUCAAGUUGUCACACACUCCAAUCAGGAUCUACAAUACCGUUUAGAUGCUCCAUCUUCCUAUUCGUUUAGCUUUUGUCAUAUUUAUAUAUAAAUCUCAAGGCCAAACAACGGUCAUUUGCUUUUUAGAGUUUAGAAAAUCUUAAUUUGCUCAAAUGCUCACAUGUGGGAAGCCCCAUGAAUCUAUUGGUGUUAACUGGAUAUAUUUUCGUAAUUUGCAAGGCUCAUUGGUGGGAAAUUAUUCUUAGUUGUGGUAAAGCUUUGUAUUUUAACAGUUUGGAAAGGAUUUCAAUUCGUUUCGACGAAAAUGUGAAUGAAUUGCAUUUAUAUCAGAUAUUCACACAUCUAACUAACACAAAUCAUACAUUUCUUCUCUGGUUGGAGUGUAACAUUUUGAGAAACGAACAAUCGAACGUAAGAAAUGUUGAGAGAAGAACAUGUGAAUUUGAUUUAAGCCCGAUAAUAAGCAAAUAUAAAAGUAAAUUUUUUUUGUGAAAAAAGAAAAGGAUAUUAUUCUCACUUAAUUAUAUGGAGAUAUUUUCUUCUCAGAUAAAUGUUUAUUUAAUGCUCCUUGGUACGUAAGAUUUGCACACCUCCAACUCUUCUUGGCGUGAACUCAGUGCUAAAUGAAUGUCCAAAAUUGCAAAGUCUCAUGAGCUGAAGCUCAGACAGCAUGUUAAUCAGGAGUUUCCCAAACUCAUCGAACAAACCGGCUGAAACGCAAAACCCUUCCAAACUAGUAAUAGAACAGUAGUACCAAAUGUAUAUUUCUGACAUUUACCUUUUACAUAUUUUUGAAUUUCAUUGUUAGUAUUUUGUCUUUGUAUGCUGAAUUAGAAAAUAUUAUAUGUAGUAUAUGCAAAGGGGACAAAAUUUAGUAUGGAAAUAUGCAACCAGAUGUCCGAGUAUCAUUAUACAAGCUUCAUUCAUAUAUGGUUAUACAGUUUAUAUAAUAUUAGUUAGCCAAUAACUUAAAAUAUUUCUGCUACACUGUUCCUCUCAAAUUAUAAGCAUCAAAAUAUAUAAUAAUACCUUCUAUUUUUUUAAUAUAUUUAUAUCGGCCCUAUUCCCGUUGUCGUUGUCGUUCCUAAAUUCAUAUCAGGGAUAAAGGGAUGUCCAACUUAUUCCAGUGUGAGAGCACCUCAAAAUUUGCGUUUUUUAUAACAUUUUGCAAUAUUGCCAGAUCAGACAAAAUACUAAUUUUUGGGCAUUUAAAUAAAAAUACAAACAUUUAUUAUGGUUAAAAAUUAUUAUAUACUGAAUGUUUAAUAUAAAAUAACUUAUUUCAAUUUCAUUUAGCGAUAAAAUGGUAUAUUAAAAUAGCCGGUUUUCGAAGUUUCAGUAAUAAAUAUGGUCAAUUAUUAAGUGUCAACUGAAAAUAAAUCAAUUUCUUUUAUAAUUUUCCAUGAAAAAUUAGUUUCUCGAUGCUGCAAUUCACAAAAAUAUUCUUUAACCACUUUUAAAUUACGCGUUAUCAUUGAUAUUUAUUGUUUUAAGUUCUUAUUAGUGAUCUUGCAAGGCGGCUAAAAAUGUCUCCAUCGCAUUAUUUUUUUGGCAACAUUUCAAUCUGGCCUUUCCAGUUUCCCAAUUGCGAAACGUCAAAACCUCCUCAUCUCGACAAACUGUCAAAGUUUAGGUGGUUUUGACGUUUACAAUUGCGCUCUCACUUCCAGUGAUAUGAGAGUUGUACAUCUCUUUAUCUCUGAUUCAUAUUCUUGAAGUAUUGUCUUUUGCUGUCGCCCAUUGCGUUCACACGAGCAAUUCUUGUUCGACAACUCUAUCCGUGUCUUUCUCUAAUUCUAUUUCAUAUAAUUUUCUCAACUUCUUGUACGCAUUGUUUCCAAACAAAAAAAUAGAUUUCAUUAACUAAUUUUUAUCGUUAUUCUCCAUUUUCUAACAUAUUUUAAUUAUAUUAUGCAAAUUUCUAUAUGUAUUUGCAAAUUAAUUUUAAUUACUAAAAAUUUUAUAAUAACAAAUAGAUCAAUUUUUACGUCUAAAAUCGUCAUUUUGGCUUGAAAAUGGUACCAAAAAUUGAAAAAUUAAAAAAAAAGCUCGACGACAAUUGAAAGAUAAACUAAUAAACUAAAGAAAGUAUUUUGAUUUUUUGGUUUCGGAUGAUCCAGUGAUGCUGUAGGCUGCUCACCGCACAAAAACUUCUUUUCGAGGUGUCUGCAGAGAUCGACGAUAAAUCCGUUAUUCCUCGCUAUUUUUCGAUAAAACUUUUUUUAAGUAUCCUUCAAAUUUUGUACUUUCAUAUAAUAAUAAGUAAAAUAAACCUACAGCAAUAAUUUUUUCUAAAAAAAUUCAUGAAAAAAGGUCUUUUUUCGACGAAACAAACUUUAACCAACCAACCCCCGCCCCCCCUUAAAGUGAAAUUAUUUGUGCAAAAAAUGUAAAAAUUGGCGAUUUAUUUGUUUUAAAUAAUUGAUUGUUAUUAUAAAUGAUAUAUCAAAGCUAUUUUACGUUUCUGCUGGCAAAAUAACGUCAUAUUUGUUAUAACUUUUAAUAAUUUUACAUUUUACAUAGUAGUGGCAACUCUACAGCUGCCCAUUGUCGUAUGAACAACGGUAGAAUGGCGUGACAUAAAGAAUAGAACCGCAACAAGAUUUUUAUACCGAUAGUCGAUAGUGGAAAAUACAAAGAACGUUAUUGGCAACAUAAUCUGUUUGGCUUUGUGUGAAUAUUUGGUAAUUACACAUUUUGAAUAUUAAAUUUCAGUGUUUGUUUUAACCGAGCCUUCUUCAUUGUGGCUUCGUUGAUAAGUUUGGCUUAUGAUUGACCGGUUAUCAGCAUAUCUAUCCGAUUCUGAUUCGAGAUAUCGACUGAAGCCUCCCAGACAUGUUGCAAAAUAUUUAGUUUGGUUUUACGACCCCAUUUCCUCUAUAUAGAUGAUAAGGUUAUACCGUCUUUAAGAGUUGGGGAAAAAUACAAAAAAUAUUAAAACCACAAAAGUAACCAUGAGGAAGCGAGAAGAGUGUUGAAACUUCCCCAGUACUCGUCCUAUGUAGCCAGGAAAAAGCCACCUAUAUAUAUAUAUAUACAGCCUAUUCUGUGCACUUUACAGAAAUUCAACAGAUUUGUAAAAAUUUUAAAUUUAUUUCGUAUUCUUUGACUAAAAUAAAAAGAUUUUUCUUUAUAAAUUGAAUGUAUAUAUUAGGGCUCUUAAAAUUAUUCGAUUAACCUGAAAACCGAUUAUUCAAAUAUCCGGUUUGUAACCGUUCGUACUAAUAUUAACCGGUUAGUACUAUUCGAUUAAUCGCAAUGUUACGACUAUUCGAAUAGUCGUUCAACUGCGGUUAUUCGAAUAGUUAUGCAGUCACUAUUCGAAUAAAUGAAAAUUGUUUGAAAUCCAAACAGCUUUUGAUUUUUUAAAGUUUACGCAUUCCAGCCACUUUAACAGAAUCAGGGAGGACGUUCUCCAUUGCUGGAAACAUUGUAGCUCCACGUAGAAGCUGCUUGCAACCAACAAAUGUUAACCUUUUAACUUUCUUAUAUCAAAAUAGACUUUUUAUGAAAAAUACUGAUUUAAUACAUUCAUCCAGUUGAAAUGGUUAAAAACUAUUAUGUCAUUACUUAAUGGUUCCCGUAAAAUCAUUGUUAUUUUUUACAUUUUAAAGCAAGUUAAUCGUUAGUUUUAAUGUUUCCCUUUUUUUCAAUACAAAUAAGAAAAUUAAUGAACUUGCACUAUUCGAAUAGUCGACAACGAAGGGUUAACCGAAUAGUCGAAAAUGAGCGGUUAAUCGAAUAGUCGAUGACUGACGACUAUCCGAAUAGUGUAAACCAAAUAUUAUUAUUCGAAUAAUGCCCUAUUCGGUUAAUUCGGUUAGUCGAAUACCAAGAGCUCUAGUAUAUAUAUAUUAAAUUACAGUGAAAUUAUUCUCAUGCCCACACAAUUUGUUUGGGGCAUACCGAAAUAACGCGACGGCGACUCUUAACUACAUAGCUCGCGUAUGCGAAUGCGAAAGCGUAAAAGUGCACUUGACUGCGUAUAUUUCGAGCAGCUGAAUAAAUGCGCUAUUGAAUGCGUUGACAGCUGUAUACAAGGUGAUACACAUACACACUUUUUAUUUGCGAGUUUGAAAUCGACCUAAAUAAUAUGGACGGCGAUUUUAAAUUUUUAUUGAUUUUUAUAAUCAGUGUACAUAGAAAACCUCGAAUUAAGCAACGGAAGGAAAAUUUAAACUGUCUACCUUGUUUAUUAAAACUUUAUCACCCCUAAUCUUUAAAAAUUAAUUUAAAUAUUUGAUAAAUUUAUUAUUAAUAAAUUAAUAAAUAUUAUAUUUUCCAAAAUACUUAUAUUGUGUCGAAGAAAACGAGCUUAAAUAAUUAAAACAUACAAGAUUGUAAGUAACAUAAUGUUGGUUGCUAUUCUUAAGAAUGUGAAUGUUGCUGUGUUAGCGCAUGAAAGUUGAAAAUUUUCAACUUCUGUGCGUCUUCGAAUCCAAGUACGAAUUUCGGAGCGUUGGUUGCGAAAAAAUGCGAAAGCUAUGUAGCUCAUCUCAUAAGAACAUGUGUAUUCAACUCAACUGUCAAACGUUCGCAUUCGCAUUCGCGAGCAUUGUAGUAGCUGCUUAAAACCAAAUCGUACGAAUUGUAAUUUCGGUUCUGAAUUGAAAUCGCGCGGUUUCCAGAACAUGAGUGGAAAACACACAAAAAAGAAAUAGUGAAAUCGGUCCAGCCGUUUAGGAGGAGUUCAAUGACUACAACACGUAGAGAAGAUUUAUAUAUAUACUGCUUUCACCGUACCCAAAAUUAUCGAAAUCGCAACUGAAAUUGCUACUGAAGUGCUUACUAUUGCUACUGUGAUCGAAUUAGAAUCACUGAACUGCUAUUGCUAUAGUGAUCGAACUAGACUUACCGAAAAUUGAUCACAGUUUCUAUAUGCGAUUUUUCAAUCACUGUGAAAAAUUCACCGGUAGUGAAAUAUCGCUCAUCACUACAAUGAACAUAGCUGAAUGUAAUCGUACUUCAGGGGAAUGAAGUUCAACAAAAUAAAAAAAAAACGUUUAACACAUAGACUCUAAAAACUUGGGUUCGCCAACAACUGGUAGCACUCUCAACAAUCGUUCAGCAGGUUGGAGAAAUGUUCUAUCUCUAAACCCAGUAUGCCCUGGACAUCAGUGACCAGAUUACCACCUGUGGAGAAUGCUCCGGUCCCUUUCCACGUGUUUGGUCGACCGCAACAUUGCGUGGUAGGCAGUCUGCUUUCACUCCACUGCGAAACUCAAUCCUCCUCGUACCUGCUCGUUUGUUUUGGCCUUGCCGAAGUCCAAAUGUUUUGUCUGCAGCGGUAGGCAGUGAGUUUUGGAUGUCGUUCCACAGUUCCCAUAUAUCGAGAUGGAAUCUUCCUUACGUUUGUUGACCGGCGUUCUUUGCUGCACAGAGGCAAGUGUGAACCUUUGCGUACUCCUCGGAGCGUACGCAAACAUGUAUUAUAGAAUAACAACAUGAUCGAUUUGGUUGCUAAAUUUUUUAUCAGAGGACAGCCAUUUAGCUUGAUGAAUUUUCUUGUGCCGCAUUCUGUUAUUACAAAAAAUUAUGUUUUGGACCACAGCGAACUCCUUAACGAAAAAAAAAUAACUCGCGAUGAUCGAAAUGCAUCCUAAACAUGCUUUCAUGCCAAGGAUUGGAACUAACACUUUUAAUUUUCAUAUAUUGUAAAUAGUUUACCAAUUAUCUUAAUAAUAAUAUAAAAAAUUAAACUUGCCUCUUGAAAAACAGAACGCACUUGAUCUCGAUCAGUAAUAUCAAUGCAAUAGUAAAUUAAUGUUUUCCCAGUUAGCUUUUGAACUCUAUUCAAUGAUUCAGGUAACUUAGACGAUCCUGAACUGUACGCAUUACUCAAGUUAUCUAUGCAAACCACGUUGUAACCUGCAUUCAUCAUUUCCAAGACUGUAUGGGAGCCUAUAUAUCCCGCUCCUCCGGUUACUAAUACAUUUGGAGGAGACAUUGUAGAUUCUAUAAAGGGAUAAAUAUGCAAAUAGGUUAGUUAACAAAGUGGGGAAAAAAAUAAUGACAGUAGUGAUAUAUUAAUGUAAACACCACAAAACAUAAAUUUUCUUAGAUUUCCAAAGUCUUUUGGGAUGCAAUCACAAAUCCAACAAUAUUUUGAAAAAUGUUAUUGUACGUGUAUUGUCUUAAAUAAACGUGGAAAUUUUGAAUAAAAACAUCGUACGAAUAUAUAACCAGAAGCUGUCAGAUUUGGCCAAUAAUACAGUAAUCCCCGCUUAAGUGCCCGUUCUUAACAUGCAAGACUUUUAGGACACUUAAGCAGGAAAGGCACUUAAAUAAAUUCGGCUUAAGUGCCUCAGGGUACUUACCAAGCUUUUUCUCAAAUACUUCGAUCUAAUAUUUUUUCUUUUAUAAUGAAAGUCGCAUUUAUUUCUUAUUAAGAACAAAAAUGAUUCACGUAGCGGGGAUCACUGUAUUUGCAUCGUGUGAUGCUCUGGGAGCAAAUAAAUCGACCUAUUUAGCAAUUUUUUGAAAAAAUAAUUCACUUUGAACAAAAUAUGUAAAUUUUGUUGAAGUGAAAGGUGUCAACGGCAAAAAUAAAAUUGUUGGGGAGAUUUUAGUUAGUAGGGUGCCAAAAUUUGAGGACUGUUUCAUGUUAAUUAUACGAAAAUAAAACCUUUUUAAGGAAUAAAAAAAUUAUAUCUUGCAUUGUUCGCGAGAUAUUCGCACAUGAAUAUCAGAUUAUAUAGGUUACUUUUUUGAAGCACGAUCGAAGGCCGCCAAUGCAGAAAAUAGUUCUACGCGAAAGAACUUUCCAUUACCACCAGGUAUUGGAUAGACCAGGGUUAUUUUUUUUUUAGCCCGGCCGAAAGCCGCUAAUGUAGAAAGUAGUUCUACGCGAAAGAAAUUUUCAUUUAAAUCUCUUUGAUGACCCCCGGUUAUGACACGACUAGGGUUAUUUUUUUGAAGCGCGGCCGAAGACCGCCAAUGCAGAAAGUAGUUCUUCGCGAAAGAACUUGUCAGUUCCAAUCACAUAACACAUGCAUCAAUUCAUAAGUGCACGCAUCGGCUGCUGUUAACACACAACUUUAUAUUUUUUCCUCAAAGUGUUUAUUUUGGGCUAAUUUACAUGAAAAUGAUGUCUUCAAAAUGUUCAAGACGCUGGUUUCAAAGCGAAAUUUGUAGCCAGCCGUCGCUACGUCGUGUCGUGUAGUCAUCUUUGUGUUCAGAGCAUUAAGCAGCCAUCUUACCCGGAUGUUACACGUUGAAGAAAUUGCUUUCAAGUUGUCACACACUCCAAUCAGGAUCUACAAUACCGUUUAGAUGCUCCAUCUUCCUAUUCGUUUAGCUUUUGUCAUAUUUAUAUAUAAAUCUCAAGGCCAAACAACGGUCAUUUGCUUUUUAGAGUUUAGAAAAUCUUAAUUUGCUCAAAUGCUCACAUGUGGGAAGCCCCAUGAAUCUAUUGGUGUUAACUGGAUAUAUUUUCGUAAUUUGCAAGGCUCAUUGGUGGGAAAUUAUUCUUAGUUGUGGUAAAGCUUUGUAUUUUAACAGUUUGGAAAGGAUUUCAAUUCGUUUCGACGAAAAUGUGAAUGAAUUGCAUUUAUAUCAGAUAUUCACACAUCUAACUAACACAAAUCAUACAUUUCUUCUCUGGUUGGAGUGUAACAUUUUGAGAAACGAACAAUCGAACGUAAGAAAUGUUGAGAGAAGAACAUGUGAAUUUGAUUUAAGCCCGAUAAUAAGCAAAUAUAAAAGUAAAUUUUUUUUGUGAAAAAAGAAAAGGAUAUUAUUCUCACUUAAUUAUAUGGAGAUAUUUUCUUCUCAGAUAAAUGUUUAUUUAAUGCUCCUUGGUACGUAAGAUUUGCACACCUCCAACUCUUCUUGGCGUGAACUCAGUGCUAAAUGAAUGUCCAAAAUUGCAAAGUCUCAUGAGCUGAAGCUCAGACAGCAUGUUAAUCAGGAGUUUCCCAAACUCAUCGAACAAACCGGCUGAAACGCAAAACCCUUCCAAACUAGUAAUAGAACAGUAGUACCAAAUGUAUAUUUCUGACAUUUACCUUUUACAUAUUUUUGAAUUUCAUUGUUAGUAUUUUGUCUUUGUAUGCUGAAUUAGAAAAUAUUAUAUGUAGUAUAUGCAAAGGGGACAAAAUUUAGUAUGGAAAUAUGCAACCAGAUGUCCGAGUAUCAUUAUACAAGCUUCAUUCAUAUAUGGUUAUACAGUUUAUAUAAUAUUAGUUAGCCAAUAACUUAAAAUAUUUCUGCUACACUGUUCCUCUCAAAUUAUAAGCAUCAAAAUAUAUAAUAAUACCUUCUAUUUUUUUAAUAUAUUUAUAUCGGCCCUAUUCCCGUUGUCGUUGUCGUUCCUAAAUUCAUAUCAGGGAUAAAGGGAUGUCCAACUUAUUCCAGUGUGAGAGCACCUCAAAAUUUGCGUUUUUUAUAACAUUUUGCAAUAUUGCCAGAUCAGACAAAAUACUAAUUUUUGGGCAUUUAAAUAAAAAUACAAACAUUUAUUAUGGUUAAAAAUUAUUAUAUACUGAAUGUUUAAUAUAAAAUAACUUAUUUCAAUUUCAUUUAGCGAUAAAAUGGUAUAUUAAAAUAGCCGGUUUUCGAAGUUUCAGUAAUAAAUAUGGUCAAUUAUUAAGUGUCAACUGAAAAUAAAUCAAUUUCUUUUAUAAUUUUCCAUGAAAAAUUAGUUUCUCGAUGCUGCAAUUCACAAAAAUAUUCUUUAACCACUUUUAAAUUACGCGUUAUCAUUGAUAUUUAUUGUUUUAAGUUCUUAUUAGUGAUCUUGCAAGGCGGCUAAAAAUGUCUCCAUCGCAUUAUUUUUUUGGCAACAUUUCAAUCUGGCCUUUCCAGUUUCCCAAUUGCGAAACGUCAAAACCUCCUCAUCUCGACAAACUGUCAAAGUUUAGGUGGUUUUGACGUUUACAAUUGCGCUCUCACUUCCAGUGAUAUGAGAGUUGUACAUCUCUUUAUCUCUGAUUCAUAUUCUUGAAGUAUUGUCUUUUGCUGUCGCCCAUUGCGUUCACACGAGCAAUUCUUGUUCGACAACUCUAUCCGUGUCUUUCUCUAAUUCUAUUUCAUAUAAUUUUCUCAACUUCUUGUACGCAUUGUUUCCAAACAAAAAAAUAGAUUUCAUUAACUAAUUUUUAUCGUUAUUCUCCAUUUUCUAACAUAUUUUAAUUAUAUUAUGCAAAUUUCUAUAUGUAUUUGCAAAUUAAUUUUAAUUACUAAAAAUUUUAUAAUAACAAAUAGAUCAAUUUUUACGUCUAAAAUCGUCAUUUUGGCUUGAAAAUGGUACCAAAAAUUGAAAAAUUAAAAAAAAAGCUCGACGACAAUUGAAAGAUAAACUAAUAAACUAAAGAAAGUAUUUUGAUUUUUUGGUUUCGGAUGAUCCAGUGAUGCUGUAGGCUGCUCACCGCACAAAAACUUCUUUUCGAGGUGUCUGCAGAGAUCGACGAUAAAUCCGUUAUUCCUCGCUAUUUUUCGAUAAAACUUUUUUUAAGUAUCCUUCAAAUUUUGUACUUUCAUAUAAUAAUAAGUAAAAUAAACCUACAGCAAUAAUUUUUUCUAAAAAAAUUCAUGAAAAAAGGUCUUUUUUCGACGAAACAAACUUUAACCAACCAACCCCCGCCCCCCCUUAAAGUGAAAUUAUUUGUGCAAAAAAUGUAAAAAUUGGCGAUUUAUUUGUUUUAAAUAAUUGAUUGUUAUUAUAAAUGAUAUAUCAAAGCUAUUUUACGUUUCUGCUGGCAAAAUAACGUCAUAUUUGUUAUAACUUUUAAUAAUUUUACAUUUUACAUAGUAGUGGCAACUCUACAGCUGCCCAUUGUCGUAUGAACAACGGUAGAAUGGCGUGACAUAAAGAAUAGAACCGCAACAAGAUUUUUAUACCGAUAGUCGAUAGUGGAAAAUACAAAGAACGUUAUUGGCAACAUAAUCUGUUUGGCUUUGUGUGAAUAUUUGACUGCUUUCACCGUACCCAAAAUUAUCGAAAUCGCAACUGAAAUUGCUACUGAAGUGCUUACUAUUGCUACUGUGAUCGAAUUAGAAUCACUGAACUGCUAUUGCUAUAGUGA